GCUUAUCCAUUCACUAUUUUUUUAUAUCUUUUUUUUUGGUUAUUAGUGUUUUUCGAAUCCAACUUAAACAUAUUCGGAGUUCGGCGGCACGCUACAGCUCCGGUACGUUUGGAGAUACUCCAUAUUCCAUAAUAUAGUAAUAGCUGAUUAAGCAUAGCUAAUCUGCACUUCCUGAGGCAGAAGGCGGUACUUGAUCCCGAGCUCCUCCAGAAUCUUCUUAAGCUCGACAACAAGAUCCGAUCUCCGGUUGCCCGCCUCUCCAACAUUCUGGAAAUUUAUUGAAUCUCGAUGAAUUAUACAACGGAGACAGAUGAAAAGAUUUUGAUGGGGAGUGGAAAAGGGGUGUACCUGCACACCAUCAAUGACACAGCGAUCACCAACGUCAAAGGGGUGCACCACAAA